CUUUAAUGCCAUCUAUACAGCAACUCAGCUAAAUCGAGCUUGGGAGUACAUGCGCGAAACAAUGGGUUGAUGAAGGUCCUUCAUUCAGACAGCAGGACUUUUCUAUACCUCCUGCAAUUCCAAGCCCUCUAGGACCUCCUUUACUUCCUAGAAAACCCUCUCUGCCAACAGCUCCACCACUGACCCCAGUUCCACCAUCUGCCUGUGGUGAACCACCAUCUCCUUCAACCAUUUCAUCACCUUCUUCAACAACUCAUAGGAAGGGCAAAAAGAGGGACCAAAUCUCAGAGAGGGAGUAAUGCUACAAGGCUAUUAGCCUGAACAACAAAAAGCUCCAUGAUGCCCAACUCUUAUAGGCGAAUGAAAUUAGAAAGGAAUUCUCCAAGUCUUGUGAAGCAGUUCGUGCAUCUGCAGAAAGAGUUUCAAGUGACUUUAAAGGGUUGCAGAUGAAAUAAUUUCAUUUUUAGGUGAUGCAAAGCAAUAUUUGCAACUUCACGGCACAAAAUCUGGAAAAAACAUAAAUGCUGCAAAAGCAUGAAAUAAAACAACAAAAUCUA
rnacentral:lncRNA from 1 species